UACGGAGGGUGCAAGCGCUAUCCGGAUUCACUGGGUUUAAAGGGUGCGUAGGUGGGCAGGUAAGUCAGUGGUGAAAUCUCCGGGCUUAACCCGGAAACUGCCAUUGAUACUAUCUGUCUUGAAUACCGUGGAGGUGAGCGGAAUAUGUCAUGUAGCGGUGAAAUGCUUAGAUAUGACAUAGAACACCAAUUGCGAAGGCAGCUCACUACGCGAAUAUUGACACUGAGGCACGAAAGCGUGGGGAUCAAACAGG
rnacentral:rRNA from 1 species